rnacentral:lncRNA from 1 species
UGUGGAUAUGAGAUGUGACUGUAUCUGAAGAAUACGGCACAAGGUGCCAUUGGCAAGCAAGCCCCUGAGCUGCUGCCGCUGGGCCCCUCUAGGUUUGUGUGUUUGUCUCUCCUGCUGUGAGCUGUACGUUCCCACCAGACUCUGGCUUUCCCACCAAGAUCCAGCUGUGCUGCUCCGCUUCCCCCUCCCUAGCCCAUUUUGUGAAAAGCAGCUGUUUUUCCCUUUCCAGCUCUCCAAGUGCUGAUUUCAUCUCUUUCCCGACAAAAGUUUGAAGCCAGGAGGGAAAUGGUUUGGCAGAAAGUCAGAUUGCAGUGGGAGCAAGAAGACUACGUGGAGGAGGCCGAUGCCGGGUAGCGGUCCAGGAUGAGGGGUCUGGACGCGGCUCUGCAGACUCCAUGAGACAAGAAGCCCCAGGAAUCUAGGCGGGGCAUAGGGCUCUGUGGAAUUCACUCCUCUGAGCUGUUUUCAGCAACUUUAGCUAGGGGUGAUGUCAAAGAGUUCCAUUUCUCAAUAGCUUUUCUGGAAGAGGGGUGGAGACAGCCAUGGGGAAACCAUGAUGAGACACCAGGGCUCACCGGGGCUGACCACCCCUCAACUCAGUGCUACAGUUCGACUUUUGAGCACUUACAUUGUGUGUGGACUGUGCUGGGGAUGGAAGGAGGCUCGAGAGAACAUGAGAUGGUUAGGAGGCCAAAAAAAGGUUGAACAUUUCCCAAAGGAACACUGAGGCACAAAGGGAAACCCCAGUCACGGAGAAACCGGUGAGUUUACAGAGUGCAGAUUUCUGAGCCCAGUGUGACCAAACGUCCCACGGAAACCAUGGAAGGUCGCCUUGAUGGGCAUGGGAAGAGGUGGCUGUUCCUUGGAAUUCCUUGACUCAGCUGGGCCUGAGGUGGAGGCCAGCAAAUGCCAGCAAACUGUGGAUGUGGCCGGGGCGGGGGCGGGAAGGGCUCUGCUUCCAGCCUGGUGGGUGCCUCAGUGCUUCUCAGGGACUGGGCCCAGGUCUUUGUCUGGGAAGGGGCUCUCCAUGCACCUGCCAGGCCCUCCAGCCAGGCCCCCUCAACAUCCCCCUGGCCUCCUUGAAUGUUGUCCCGGCUCUGCCCCCUUUCAUGAGGAAAGCCUUGAAUUUUCUCCUCACUCUUCUGGAAGUCACUGGCUCCUUGGCUCAGGGUGUCCCCCACCCUGACCCCAUCUCGCUCUGACCGUCUGGUUGUCCUAAAGCAUGUUCACAGGGUUUCAGGCUGGCUCUGCCUUGGAGCUGCCAUGUUCCACUGGGUCCUCCGAUGAGUCAGCACAGAUUCCCGCGGGCUGUUUCCAAACGUGAAUCACUGUUGGAGUCCCUUUGGCAUUUGGCUCCUGAAUCGAGGAACUAACCUUAUCCUUAGGGAAGCCACAGCCGAC